AUGGGGUCCAAGGGAAUCCUCAAGAACAGCGGCUCCAGCCGCGUGCCGCCGCACGGCCCCAGCAAGCCACCGACAGCGCCAACAUCGGCGCCGCAGGUGGUCUUCGGGCGGCGAACAGAGUCUGGGCGCUUCAUCAGCUACUCGCGCGACGACCUUGACUCAGAGAUCAGCAGCGUCGACUUCCAGGACUACCAUGUCCACAUCCCCAUGACGCCCGACAACCAGCCCAUGGAGGAGGACGGCACCAAGGCCGACGAGCAGUACGUCUCCAGCUCGCUCUUCACCGGCGGCUUCAACAGCGUCACCCGUGCCCAUGUCAUGGACAAGCAGGGCCCUGACUCCGACAUGGGUCGAUCUGGCCCCAAGGGCUCCAUCUGCAUGGUCGAGGGAUGCGACAGCAAGAUCAUGCGCAAUGGCCGUGGGGAGGACAUCCUCCCCUGUGAGUGUGACUUCAAAAUCUGCGUCGACUGCUUCACCGACGCCGUCAAGGGUGGCCGCGGUGUCUGCCCCGGGUGCAAAGAGCUUUACAAGCACACCGAGUGGGAAGAAGUCCUCUCCAACUCCAGCAAUGAGCUGACACGGGCUCUGUCGCUGCCACAUGGGCCAGGGGGCAAGAUGGAGAGGCGUCUUUCGUUGGUGAAGCAGGGCACUAUGAACAACCAGUCCGGUGAGUUUGACCAUAACCGCUGGCUCUUUGAGACCAAGGGGACAUAUGGCUAUGGUAAUGCCAUUUGGCCAGACGACAAUGUGGACGAUGAUGGCAGAAAUGGAGUACCAGGGCACCCCAAGGAGCUCAUGUCUAAACCAUGGCGGCCGCUCACCCGCAAGCUCCAGAUUCCAGCUGCUGUCAUCAGUCCUUACAGGCUCCUUGUCCUCAUCCGCUUGGUUGCACUGGCCUUCUUCCUCAUGUGGCGUAUCAAGCAUCAAAAUGAUGACGCCAUCUGGCUCUGGGGAAUGUCAAUUGUUUGUGAGCUCUGGUUCGCAUUGUCAUGGGUGUUGGACCAGCUUCCAAAGCUUUGCCCUAUCAACCGUGCUACUGAUCUCUCUGUGCUUAAAGAAAAGUUUGAGACACCAACGCCGAGCAAUCCAACAGGCAAAUCUGAUCUCCCUGGAAUUGAUAUCUUUGUGUCAACUGCUGAUCCAGAAAAGGAGCCGGUCCUGGUCACAGCAAACACAAUUCUCUCAAUCCUUGCAGUUGACUACCCUGUCGAUAAGCUUGCAUGUUAUGUGUCAGAUGAUGGAGGGGCACUGCUGACCUUCGAGGCGAUGGCUGAGGCAGCAAGCUUUGCUAAUUUCUGGGUGCCAUUCUGCAGGAAGCAUGACAUUGAACCCAGGAACCCAGACAGCUACUUCAACCUGAAGAGAGAUCCUUUCAAGAAUAAGGUGAAGGCCGACUUUGUAAAGGACAGGAGAAGGAUCAAGCGUGAGUAUGACGAGUUCAAGGUCCGCGUUAACGGCUUGCCAGAUUCCAUCAGGCGCCGCUCUGAUGCAUACCAUGCCCGUGAGGAAAUCCAGGCAAUGAAUCUUCAAAGGGAAAAGAUCAAGGCUGGAGGCGAUGAGCAAUUUGAGCCAGUGAAGAUUCCCAAGGCAACAUGGAUGGCUGAUAGCACUCACUGGCCUGGUACAUGGAUUCAUUCGUCACAAGAUCAUGCACGUGGUGAUCAUGCAGGAAUCAUACAGGUUAUGCUGAAACCACCAAGUGACAUGCCAAUGUAUGGGAACAUUGAAAAGUCACCUCUUGACUUUUCAGAAGUGGAUACAAGACUUCCAAUGCUGGUGUACAUGUCACGUGAGAAACGUCCGGGAUAUGAUCACAACAAGAAAGCAGGUGCCAUGAAUGCAUUGGUCCGUGCAUCAGCCAUCAUGUCCAAUGGCCCCUUCAUUCUUAAUCUGGACUGUGAUCACUACGUUUACAACUCAAAGGCCUUCAGGGAGGGCAUGUGCUUCAUGAUGGACCGUGGUGGUGACCGACUCUGCUAUGUGCAGUUUCCUCAGAGGUUUGAAGGCAUUGAUCCUUCUGACCGGUAUGCUAACCACAAUACUGUUUUCUUUGAUAUAAACAUGCGUGCUCUUGAUGGUCUGCAAGGACCAGUGUAUGUCGGCACUGGGUGCCUCUUCCGGCGAAUCGCCCUAUAUGGCUUUGACCCACCUCGUUCCAAGGAUCACAGCCCAGGCUUUUGUGGUUGCUGCCUCCCACGACGACGCAAGGCAUCUGCUUCCAAUGCUAAUCCCGAGGAGACAAUGGCUCUCCGUAUGGGUGAUUUUGACGGGGACAGCAUGAACCUCGCCACAUUCCCGAAGAAGUUUGGAAAUUCCAGCUUUCUGAUUGACUCCAUCCCAGUAGCAGAGUUCCAGGGAAGGCCCUUGGCUGACCAUCCAUCUGUCAAGAAUGGGCGUCCACCUGGUGCUCUAACAAUUCCACGUGAAAUACUGGAUGCAUCCAUUGUGGCAGAAGCAAUCAGUGUAGUUUCAUGUUGGUAUGAGGAGAAGACAGAGUGGGGCACUCGUGUGGGGUGGAUCUAUGGAUCUGUCACUGAGGAUGUUGUGACAGGGUACCGCAUGCAUAAUCGUGGAUGGAAGUCAGUGUACUGUGUCACACAGCGUGAUGCCUUCCGCGGCACUGCCCCUAUCAAUCUCACAGAUCGUCUUCACCAGGUGCUUCGGUGGGCUACUGGUUCUGUCGAGAUCUUUUUCUCUCGGAACAAUGCAUUGUUUGCCAGCUCCAAAAUGAAGGUACUACAAAGGAUUGCAUACCUCAAUGUUGGCAUAUAUCCCUUCACAUCCAUCUUCCUCAUUGUCUACUGCUUCCUUCCAGCACUCUCCCUUUUCUCAGGGCAGUUCAUUGUGCAAACACUCAAUGUCACCUUCCUGACAUACCUACUUAUCAUCACCGUCACGCUUUGUCUCCUGGCCAUGCUGGAGAUCAAGUGGUCUGGAAUUGCACUGGAAGAGUGGUGGCGAAAUGAACAAUUCUGGCUUAUUGGUGGAACUAGUGCUCACCUAGCUGCUGUGAUGCAAGGUCUACUGAAAGUUGUUGCAGGGAUUGAGAUCUCAUUCACACUCACAUCAAAGCAGGUGGGUGACGAUAUCGAUGAUGAAUUUGCAGAACUCUACGAAGUAAAGUGGACUUCAUUGAUGAUACCACCUCUCACCAUCAUCAUGGUGAACCUUGUUGCCAUUGCUGUUGGCUUCAGCCGCACAAUUUACAGCACAAUCCCGCAAUGGAGCAAGCUUCUUGGUGGAGUGUUUUUCAGCUUCUGGGUGCUUGCCCAUUUAUAUCCAUUUGCAAAGGGGCUCAUGGGCAGGAGAGGCAGGACACCCACCAUUGUGUAUGUCUGGGCUGGAUUAGUUUCCAUCACUAUUUCAUUGCUCUGGAUUGCAAUCAAUCCUCCAUCAUCAGCUGCCAAUCAACAGUUAGGCGGGUCAUUCUCUUUCCCUUGA
rnacentral:rRNA from 1 species